rnacentral:rRNA from 1 species
UACGGGGGGAGCAAGCGUUGUUCGGAUUUACUGGGCGUAAAGGGCGCGUAGGCGGUCGUGACAAGUCACUUGUGAAAUCUCCGGGCUUAACUCGGAACGGUCAAGUGAUACUGUCGGACUAGAGUACAGAAGGGGCAACUGGAAUUCUCGGUGUAGCGGUGAAAUGCGUAGAUAUCGAGAGGAACACCCGCGGCGAAGGCGGGUUGCUGGGCUGAUACUGACGCUGAGGUGCGAAAGCGUGGGGAGCAAACAGG